CAUUCUCAAAACCUUCUCGGUUUCUCGACCGGGAAGGCUUUGGACUUUGGAGGCUUUUGCUGGCAUUCCUUUGUUGGAGCCAGCUCCUCUGAAAUGAAUUAGUGGGGUCUGCUUUGCCGAUCCUUGACGUGAUAAGAUGUUUUCUACGUCUUGGGUUUUAGCACUCCUGCUUCUAACCGUCUCACAGUAGACAAAUGGUCCACUCGACCCACAAA
rnacentral:misc_RNA from 1 species